rnacentral:lncRNA from 1 species
ACUGAAUAAUGGCAAUGGUGAAGAUGGAGAUGAUAAAACAUCAGUACUUCUUUGGGGGAAGAGUGGAGACAAAAGGCUUGUUGAGGAAGUGCUAUUUGACUAGGUUCUUGAAGAAUGAGUAGAUUUAAAGACUUGGAGAUGAUAUUUUAGUCUGAAGAAAUGGCACAGAUGAUGCCAUGAAGGCUCCUCCUCAGCAUGUCCCAGGACAGUUUUAUAGCUCUGUAUGGAAUGCAGAUGGAUGGCUGCCUGUUUCCAUUUCAUGCUUUGGAUUUACAGGUGCAGGUUGUAUAGCUUCUCAGCGUUACUGAAAUUGGAAAACAUUUCUAAAGCUUGCAGCAUGUCAAGCCCUGUGAUUUUGAAUAAAAUUGGAUUUUACAGUCUGUUGUGUGGCUUUAAUAUUUCUUAUGCUGA